GAUGAACGCUGGCGGCGUGCCUAAUACAUGCAAGUCGAGCGAACAGACGAGGAGCUUGCUCCUCUGACGUUAGCGGCGGACGGGUGAGUAACACGUGGAUAACCUACCUAUAAGACUGGGAUAACUUCGGGAAACCGGAGCUAAUACCGGAUAAUAUAUUGAACCGCAUGGUUCAAUAGUGAAAGACGGUUUUGCUGUCACUUAUAGAUGGAUCCGCGCCGCAUUAGCUAGUUGGUAAGGUAACGGCUUACCAAGGCGACGAUGCGUAGCCGACCUGAGAGGGUGAUCGGCCGCACUGGAACUGAGACACGGUCCAGACUCCUACGGGAGGCAGCAGUAGGGAAUCUUCCGCAAUGGGCGAAAGCCUGACGGAGCAACGCCGCGUGAGUGAUGAAGGUCUUCGGAUCGUAAAACUCUGUUAUUAGGGAAGAACAAAUGUGUAAGUAACUAUGCACGUCUUGACGGUACCUAAUCAGAAAGCCACGGCUAACUACGUG
rnacentral:rRNA from 1 species